UACGGAGGGUGCAAGCGUUGUCCGGAAUCACUGGGCGUAAAGGGCGCGUAGGCGGCUCAUGAAGGCUGUGGUGAAAGUCCGGGGCUCAACCUCGGAUCGGCCGUGGCGACUCGUGGGCUGGAGCACUGUAGAGGCGGGUGGAAUUCCGGGUGUAGCGGUGGAAUGCGCAGAUAUCAGGAGGAACACCAAUAGCGAAGGCAGCUCGCUGGGACGUUACUGACACUGAGGCGCGAAAGCGUGGGGAGCGAACAG
rnacentral:rRNA from 1 species